rnacentral:rRNA from 1 species
CUUGUACACACCGCCCGUCACACCAUGAUAGUUUGUAACACCCAAAGUCGGUUAGGUAACUUUUGGAGCCUGCCGCCUAAGGUGGGACAGAUGAUUAGGGUGAAGUCGUAACAAGGUAGCCGUAGGAGAACCUGCGGCUGGAUCACCUCCUUU